rnacentral:tRNA from 1 species
UGUUCUGUAGCUUAGUUGGUUAAAGCGCCGGACUAGCGAUAACGGAGUCGUGGGUUCGAAUCCCCCAAAAACAA